GGGAUAUGAUGAGUGGUCAUUACUCGCAAGCGUUGCGAGAUGGGUGUCCGCCGCAAAGCCUGGUUACGACACUUGGGCACUCCCAUUUUUACCAUCUGAUCCC
rfam:Gossypium raimondii Chr03_contig_880, whole genome shotgun sequence.